AUUGAACGCUGGCGGCAGGCCUAACACAUGCAAGUCGAGCGGGAGUAGCAAUACUCUAGCGGCGAACGGGUGAGGAAUGCUUGGGAAUCUGCCUAGUAGUGGGGGAUAACGUUCGGAAACGGACGCUAAUACCGCAUACGUCCUACGGGAGAAAGGGGGGAUCUUCGGACCUCUCGCUAUUAGAUGAGCCCAAGCGGGAUUAGCUAGUUGGUGAGGUAAUGGCUCACCAAGGCAACGAUCCCUAGCUGGUCUGAGAGGAUGAUCAGCCACACUGGAACUGAGACACGGUCCAGACUCCUACGGGAGGCAGCAGUGGGGAAUAUUGGACAAUGGGCGAAAGCCGUGAUCCAGCCAUGCCGCGUGUGUGAAGAAGGCCUUAGGGUUGUAAAGCACUUUAAGCGAGAGGAAGGUUCGUCACCUAAUACGUGGCGGAAUUGACGUUACUCGCAGAAUAAGCACCGGCUAACUCUGUGCCAGCAGCCGCGGUAAUAG
rnacentral:rRNA from 1 species